CUACGUGCCAGCAGCCGCGGUAAUACGUAGGUCCCGAGCGUUGUCCGGAUUUAUUGGGCGUAAAGCGAGCGCAGGCGGUUUGAUAAGUCUGAAGUUAAAGGCUGUGGCUCAACCAUAGUUCGCUUUGGAAACUGUCAAACUUGAGUGCAGAAGGGGAGAGUGGAAUUCCAUGUGUAGCGGUGAAAUGCGUAGAUAUAUGGAGGAACACCGGUGGCGAAAGCGGCUCUCUGGUCUGUAACUGACGCUGAGGCUCGAAAGCGUGGGGAGCGAACAGGAUUAGAUACCCCGGUAGUCCUGGCCGUAAACGAUGGGUACUAGGUGUAGGAGGUAUCGACCCCUUCUGUGCCGGAGUUAACGCAAUAAGUACCCCGCCUGGGGAGUACGACCGCAAGGUUGAAACUCAAAGGAAUUGACGGGGGCCCGCACAAGCGGUGGAGUAUGUGGUUUAAUUCGACGCAACGCGAAGAACCUUACCAGGUCUUGACAU
rnacentral:rRNA from 1 species